GGGGAGGUUCCCGAGUGGCCAAAGGGGACAGACUGUAAAUCUGCUGCGUCUCGCUUCGGUGGUUCGAAUCCGCCCCUCCCCACCA
rnacentral:tRNA from 1 species